AGCUGUGAAGGAAGUACCAUUUUGGUGAAUCCAUUUGGUGCCAACUUUUUACAGCAUCUUCUUAUGACCAAAUAACUAACCCUUGCCAAAUUUCAUAUCAAGUGGUUACUCUGUGUGAGUGAACCAUCAUGAUCUUGAUUCUGGACCCAUAAUGUGAGUUACAAAGCAACUAUAUUAGUUUGUGCUCCAUUAUGCCCCAAAACCUCCAGGAUCAUAGUCCUUCCAUAGAUAAUCACCCCAGACAAACUCUUUGGCGCCAGUAAAGUUCCUGUUGUUCACCAGUGCACGGCCAAGUUUACUGCAGUAAACUUCAGGCGGUGAUUACCAUUUAACCAUAGCAGUUUUAACCAAACUACCACCGCGGUUGCAACCUCCCCAGGAAGGACAAACCACCAGACAUCGUUUGGCCGGCCGUGUGGCACUGUGUGCACUAGUGCAUGCGGUGAUCACGAGCUUUGGCAUGCAAUGUGCGCGCUCUGCUGGCGUUGGCCGCGUCUAGGACGUCUUCUAGCUCCGGCCCCUCCUCCUCUCGUCGCCUUCGCGCUCGUGAGCCUGUCCAACAGCUUCACCGCAUCGUUGCCGUCUUCCUGGAGCCAUACCCCCCCUCUGUAAGCCCUCCGUUAGCGCUCGUCGCUGCGCGCCCACGAGCGCACUGUGGCCGACCGAGCAUUAAUGGCGUCGUGUCCGUGUCCCCUCUGCGCCCUCGGCCCCUCUUGCCCUGUGCAUCGCUGUCGCUCAUCCGCUCCUCCCUCGUCGCGUUCCCGCGCCUCCCCGUGAUCGCUGAGCCUCGCCAAAGCGUUGGUCGGAUCCCCGUGGCGACACCCGAGCUCGGCCUCCCUCGCCCGCCUAUAUAUAGGCCUCCCCCGAGCCUUUCUAGCACACUAGCAGCCUCCCCGCACUCCACUACCCCUCCCCAGCCUCUCAUUCGAUCUCGAGGAGCUUCCUGUGCCCACCAUCACCGCCUUGGCCGCUGCCUCUGCUCACUUCGAUUCCGGCGAACCACGCCCCCUCCCUUCAUUCUUCCACCUCUAGUCGACCGACCAGACUCCAGCGGACCGCACAACCUCCUUUCCUUUUCGCCAAGAACCCGGUGGCGUCGUCUCCAACUCUGGCCGAGCCGCCAUCCGCCACCACGCGAACCCUGCCCGACCCCUUCCUCUCCGGCGUGAGCCACGUGCUCAGAUCGACGCGGCUCUCCGCGCUGAGCUCGUCGGUAGGUGGAGCGUCGCCGGAGGCCUUCUGUGGCGCCUGCUAGCGUCGCUCGAUGCCGGCGGCCUCCCUGCCUCGCGGGCGGGCGCGAGGAAGAUGAAGCCGCCCCCCAGCUGGCCAGACGGGCCCCACCACCGCGCGUGACCCACCCGUUAGCCUCUCCGUGCGUUGACCCGGACCGGAUGACGCGAAAGCGUAUCUGCCCGAAUACGUUUUCGGUUUUCUCAGUCAGGGGCUUGUUUGUAGAGAACUUUUCACAAAUAGGCCCCUGGCAGAAAACACUUUAUAACUUUUCAACCACAACUCCAAAUGAGCCCGCUUCGAGAGAGAACGUUUUUCGGUGAUUCUUUCCGCGAGCUUCUCGCACUUCUUCCCGGUGAUUUCUUCCACCCCAGGCAAGCCACACCCUCCAUUUGCAUGAUUUCAAUGCAGUGACAUGGUUUAUUUAUUUGAAGUUGUUUAAAAUAUUGCAUUAGCUAUGUAUGAUUUGUUCAUGGCAUUUCUCGUAGUAUUGUUUUGAUCUUGAUAUUGCCAUGAUAUUGCUUGGAGUUCUAGGACUUAUGUUCUGAUGAUUGUGUGGAUGACAUGUGACUUUGGAUUCUUAGUGGCUAUUAUGAUUAUUUUCAUGAUGGUAUCUGGUAUUAUUUGGGAGUAUUACUUUGGACAUGUGCCUUUGGAUUCUUAGUGGCUAUUAUGAUUAUUUUCAU